GCGUCUGUAGCGCAUUGGGUUAAGCACGCGCUCCUCCGAAGAGAGUGAGAUGAGGGUUCGAGUCCCGCCUGAAGUCA